rnacentral:rRNA from 1 species
GCCUAAUACAUGCAAGUUCGAACGGCAGCACGGACUUCGGUCUGGUGGCGAGUGGCGAACGGGUGAGUAAUGUAUCGGAACGUGCCUAGUAGCGGGGGAUAACUACGCGAAAGCGUAGCUAAUACCGCAUACGCCCUACGGGGGAAAGCAGGGGAUCGCAAGACCUUGCUCUAUUAGAGCGGCCGAUAUCGGAUUAGCUAGUUGGUGGGGUAAUGGCCUACCAAGGCGACGAUCUUUAGCUGGUCUGAGAGGAUGAUCAGCCACACUGGGACUGAGACACGGCCCAGACUCCUACGGGAGGCAGCAGUGGGGAAUAUUGGACAAUGGGCGCAAGCCUGAUCCAGCCAUGCCGCGUGAGUGAUGAAGGCCUUAGGGUUGUAAAGCUCUUUCAGUGGGGAAGAUAAUGACGGUACCCACAGAAGAAGCCCCGGCUAACUUCGUGCCAGCAGCCGCGGUAAUACGAAGGGGGCUAGCGUUGUUCGGAUUUACUGGGCGUAAAGCGCACGUAGGCGGGUUGUUAAGUCAGGGGUGAAAUCCUGGAGCUCAACUCCAGAACUGCCUUUGAUACUGGCAAUCUAGAGUCCGGAAGAGGUGAGUGGAACUCCUAGUGUAGAGGUGGAAUUCGUAGAUAUUAGGAAGAACACCAGUGGCGAAGGCGGCUCACUGGUCCGGUACUGACGCUGAGGUGCGAAAGCGUGGGGGAGCAAACAGGAUUAGAUACCCUGGGUAGUCCACGCCCGUAAACUAUGAGAGCUAGCCGUUGGACGGUUUACCGUUCAGUGGCGGCAGCUAACGCAUUAAGCUCUCCGCCUGGGGAGUACGGUCGCAAGAUUAAAACUCNAGGAAUUGACGGGGGCCCGCACAAGCCGG